ACCUGUGUGGUUAGGAUUCGUGGUUUUCACCCACGCGGCCCGGGUUCGAUUCCCGGCAUGGGAA
rnacentral:tRNA from 1 species